rnacentral:lncRNA from 1 species
CCAUCUUGCUGCCUGCAUGAAACUACCAGUAAUUACAUUGAAUUACUCCUAUGCAGGCCUUUGAUGUCUUACUUUUUUGUUUGUUUGUUAUAUCUUGAGUUAGUUAGUGAAAAAACACACACAGACUUGGUAAUCAGGGGUCUUCCAAGUGAGGAUCCACAGCUUGGAGGAGUCCCCUCGGAAAGAUGAUGUUAGUAAUCCAAACCCUGCUUGUGCAUCUUUGUCUCAGCCUGUCUCCGAUAGAGAGACAUAAGCUUUUAAUAGACUGAGAAAUUCCUUGGAGGUGUUUGUUAGUUUGCAAUUACUUUGCAAUUGAUUUUCUUAAAAAACAAUUCAUAACUUGUUAAAGAUCUUCCCUCCCUCCUUCUCUCCCAGUUUCCUUUUCCAUCUCUGUCACUGCCCAGUAUUUACAGUCAUAAAGCCUAUUUGUUUCCCAUUGCUUAGGGAGAUGAUUUUUUCUACAGAGAGAAAAAAAUGAGACCUAAUCAUUUGUAAAACUGGAUUUACAGUCAGAUCCUCCUGGGGACUGAGUAUAAUUCUUACAGUGAUGACUUCUGCAAAUGUAGUUUAGGUGGUUAACCUAUUUGCCUCUGUUUCCCUUUUUGUAAAAUAAGGUCUAUUUUAGAAUAGCUCCUGUAGACCAAAUGCUGUCAGUGAAUUUGUGAAUGGCUUAGGGGAAAUAUAGCAAAAUAUAGCAAAAGUGAAUGAAUGCUUCAUUCAGAAUGGAAGAACACUAAGAGCUGUCCUCCAAAACAAACCUGACUGUCUCCUAACACCUGCAACUUGCACACUCAGCAAUGAACCUUCCUGCUUUUCUCCACCAGGGCCUGCAGCUGGGAACUCAAGAGUUGGAGGAGAUGGGAAGCAAGUUUUGCCUUGCUCUGCUCAUUCUGCAUCUCAAAUCCUUGCCCUGCAGCAAGAAGGUGAUGGACCAGGCAGCGCUCCUGCUGGAUCUGGAUGAGGAGAUAACAGACCGAGCACAAAGCUCAGGUCCCUCUGUUGGUCAUGGUCCAUCAGGAAUUUAACCCCACCAGCGUCAAAUGUCUGUAACAAAGCAUCCACUAAUUCCUUAAACUUCUCAGAAAUGGAGUACUCUGGCAUAUGAGCUGGAAUUUAUCAGAAAGGGAAUAAUGAAUAGGCUCACUCAAGGUCUCUACACUUUUCAGUGUAUUUUCCUCAUGUCUGGUAUUUCCAUCCACUUACAGAGUGGCUCUGAGUAACCAGCUAUUGGUGAAGGAACAGUAGGAAGAUGGUUACUGAAAUUUCAGAGAUUAUUUCCCCUGUAGGUGUGACAGGAAUAGUCAUGAAGACAGGAUACCUGUUUGCAUAGAUGUCUCUCAUGCCUUCUGGUACUUUCUCACUUUUACUCCAUCCCUUGUGGGGUGCUGGAUCUGUGUGCAGUUAAUAGAACUUAAAUAAGGUGACUCUCAAACAGCAGUGUCCUUGAUCCAUCAUUAAAAAUGUCCUUGAAGCAUCGUGUCAUCAGAUGGAAGGUUUGUGUUGCUACUCACUGGCAGUACUUGUUCUGCCGUGUAUGUUACACAGCCCCAAUAUAUUUUGUGCUGUUCAGGGGGGAGCGAGCUGCUUUGGUUUUGCUUCUUUUUACUUUUUUGUUUUGUUUUGUUUUGUUUUGUUUAAAUGUUUUUCCCUGAAGGGCACAUGAGAGCUGUGGGGGUAGGAAUGCGAUUGCAGGAAGGUAACCUUUCCCAUCCCUGAGUUUUCUCAAGAGAUGCAUGCAACAGCAAGAUACAUGUAAACCCAUCAGAGCUGUUAGUGUGGCUUAAUACUAACAGAUGUAAACCCUUGAAGGAAAUAAACAGCCUAGCUCUGAACA